rnacentral:rRNA from 1 species
UACGAAGGGGGCUAGCGUUGCUCGGAAUCACUGGGCGUAAAGCGCACGUAGGCGGACUCUUAAGUCGGUGGUGAAAUCCUGGAGCUCAACUCCAGAACUGCCUUCGAUACUGGGAGUCUCGAGUCCGAGAGAGGUGAGUGGAACUGCGAGUGUAGAGGUGAAAUUCGUAGAUAUUCGCAAGAACACCAGUGGCGAAGGCGGCUCACUGGCCCGGAACCGACGCUGAGACGCGAAAGCGUGGGGAGCAAACAGG